GUCCCUGUAGCGCAAUGAACAGGGUGUUGGACUUGUAAUCCAAAGGUCGUGGAUAUCAAUCCCACCUGAGAUG